rnacentral:rRNA from 1 species
UGGGGAAUAUUGGACAACGGGCGAAAGCCUGAUCCAGCAAUGCCGCGUGAGUGAUGAAGGCCUUAGGGUUGUAAAGCUCUUUUACCCGGGAUGAUAAUGACAGUACCGGGAGAAUAAGCUCCGGCUAACUCCGUGCCAGCAGCCGCGGUAAUACGGAGGGAGCUAGCGUUGUUCGGAAUUACUGGGCGUAAAGCGCACGUAGGCGGCUUUGUAAGUUAGAGGUGAAAGCCUGGAGCUCAACUCCAGAACUGCCUUUAAGACUGCAUCGCUUGAAUCCAGGAGAGGUGAGUGGAAUUCCGAGUGUAGAGGUGAAAUUCGUAGAUAUUCGGAAGAACACCAGUGGCGAAGGCGGCUCACUGGACUGGUAUUGACGCUGAGGUGCGAAAGCGUGGGGAGCAAACA